rnacentral:misc_RNA from 1 species
CCGAGUUUACAACUCCCAAACCCAAUGUGAACCAUACCAAACUGUUGCCUCGGCGGGGUCACGCCCCGGGUGCGUCGCAGCCCCGGAACCAGGCGCCCCGCCGGAGGGACCAACCAAACUCUUUCUGUAGUCCCCUCGCGGACGUUAUUUCUUACAGCUCUGAGCAAAAAUUCAAAAUGAAUCA